rnacentral:rRNA from 1 species
AUGCCUUCCUGGAACGACGAGGAAACGAGCUCCGACGAGGACUGCGAGGUCGUCAGCAUGGACAUGGGACUGAUGGAGGAACCAGACACCAUUGUGGAGCCCCUUUUCUGUGGCCAACUUGAGCUUGCUGAACCCAAGUGCAUUCUCCAUCAAAUGAGGCCUGUUAAGCGUGUUGCUUUUGAAGGCAUUGAAAAUGGUGUGAAUUGUGGUGUUAUAGAGUGGGUUGAUGGGCCUUGGCCUCCAGUUCUUCAGAGAUGUUUGUCCAAGCUAUGGGAAAUGUUCCAUGAGCAGAACUGUGGAAGGGUACUUGACAAAGAUAAGUUUGAGAAGGAGUUGGCCAAGGUUAAGAGUGAACAUGAAAGGGAGUUGGCCAAGCUUAAGAUGGAAAAUGACAAUCUGUGCAUUGAGUACACCAAGCUUGUUGAUGAUGUAUCCAAGAUGUUUGACUGGCGGGAUGGUAGGGUGGACAAGAAUGUGCACCAGAAACAAGUGGAGGAGGAACAACUUGAGAAGAAGAAGAAGGAGCUAGAGGAGAAAGCUGUGUUGGAGGUGCAUAUGGAAAAGCUUAAACUUGCAAAAGAGCAAAGGAAGGAAGUUCAAGUUGACAGAGAUGCUCUUAUGAAGGAGAAGGAAAAGCUUGAGCUAGUUGUUGCUGAGCUGCUGAAAGAUGGGUUUGGCAGCAAGGAGAAGUUAAAGCAAAUCAAGGCCAUCCUUGAGUCCUGA